UACGUAGGGCGCAAGCGUUGUCCGGAAUUAUUGGGCGUAAAGAGCUCGUAGGCGGUUUGUCGCGUCUGCUGUGAAAACCUAAGGCUCAACCUUGGGCUUGCAGUGGGUACGGGCAGACUAGAGUGCGGUAGGGGUGACUGGAAUUCCUGGUGUAGCGGUGAAAUGCGCAGAUAUCAGGAGGAACACCGGGUGGGCGAAGGCGGGUCUCUGGGCCGAUGACUGACG
rnacentral:rRNA from 1 species